rnacentral:rRNA from 1 species
CUGUAGGUGAACUGCGGAAGGAUCAUUAC